rnacentral:rRNA from 1 species
GUGAACGCUGGCGGUAGGCCUAACACCUGCAAGUCGAACGGCAGCACAGUAAGAGCUUGCUCUUACGGGUGGCGAGUGGCGGACGGGUGAGGAAUACAUCGGAAGCUACUUUUUCGUGGGGGAUAACGUAGGGAAACUUACGCUAAUACCGCAUACGACCUACGGGUGAAAGCAGGGGAUCUUCGGACCUUGCGCGAUUGAAUGAGCCGAUGUCGGAUUAGCUAGUUGGCGGGGUAAAGGCCCACCAAGGCGACGAUCCGUAGCUGGUCUGAGAGGAUGAUCAGCCACACUGGAACUGAGACACGGUCCAGACUCCUACGGGAGGCAGCAGUGGGGAAUAUUGGACAAUGGGCGCAAGCCUGAUCCAGCCAUACCGCGUGGGUGAAGAAGGCCUUCGGGUUGCAAAGCCCUUUUGUUGGGAAAGAAAAGCAGCAGGUUAAUACCCCGCUGUUCUGACGGUACCCAAAGAAUAAGCACCGGCUAACUUCGUG